CACGUAGGGCGCAAGCGUUGUCCGGAAUUAUUGGGCGUAAAGAGCGUGUAGGCGGUUUGUCGCGUCUGCUGUGAAAUUUCGGGGCUCAACCCCGAACUUGCAGUGGGUACGGGCAGACUAGAGUGUGGUAGGGGAGACUGGAAUUCCUGGUGUAGCGGUGAAAUGCGCAGAUAUCAGGAGGAACACCGAUGGCGAAGGCAGGUCUCUGGGCCACUACUGACGCUGAGAAGCGAAAGCAUGGGGAGCGAACAGG
rnacentral:rRNA from 1 species